rnacentral:rRNA from 1 species
UACAGAGGGUCCCAAGCGUUGUUCGGAUUCACUGGGCGUAAAGGGUGCGUAGGCGGUCGGGUAAGUCUGAUGUGAAAUCUCACAGCUUAACUGUGAAACUGCAUUGGAUACUAUCCGGCUCGAGGAAUGGAGGGGAGACUGGAAUACUUGGUGUAGCAGUGAAAUGCGUAGAUAAUCAAGUGGAACACCAGUGGCGAAGCGGCCCGCUGGGCAGUGGCUGACGCUGAGGCGCGACAGCGUGGGGA